rnacentral:tRNA from 1 species
CCGGGUACAGCUCAUGGUAGAGCGCCUGCCUAGCAUGCACGAGGUCCUGGCUUCAAGCCCCAGUACCUGCA